UCUGUCUCUAUUUAAUUAGUAAUUAAAUUUAAUUUUUAAGUUAAAAAGCUUAAAUAUAUUUAAAGGACGAGAAGACCCUAUAGAGUUUGAUAUUUUAAUUUAUUUAUAAGUUUAAAUUAUUAUUAAAUAAGUUGAAAUAUUUUAUUGGGGCGAUAAAAAAAUUAUAUAAACUUUUUUAAAAAUUUUAAACAUUUAUUAGUGAAUUAUUGAUCCUUUUUUU
rnacentral:rRNA from 1 species